rnacentral:rRNA from 1 species
CCCUUAGAUGUUCUGGGCCGCACGCGCGCUACACUGACUGACUCAACGAGUGUACAACCUGCUUCGACAGAAGUGGGUAAUCUUUUGAAAUUCAGUCGUGAUUGGGAUAGACCUUUGCAAUUAUGGGUCUUCAACGAGGAAUUCCUAGUAAACGCAAGUCAUCAGCUUGCAUUGAUUACGUCCCUGCCCUUUGUACACACCGCCCGUCGCACCUACCGAUUGAAUGGUCCGGUGAAAUCUCGGGACGGCGGCUUGGUCGCUUGCGUCCGACUGCUGAAACUUGAUUAAACCAUAUCAUUUAGAGGAAGGUGAAGUCGUAACA